rnacentral:rRNA from 1 species
GAUAACAAAAGUAAGAAAGGGCGCAUGGCGGAUGCCUUGGCUCUCGGAGGCGAUGAAGGACGUGAUAAGCUGCGAAAAGUCACGGGGAGGUGCAA